GACAGGAGGAGCUAGCGUUAUUCAGUAUGAUUGGGUGCAAAGAGUGCGUAGAGUACUCUGUAAAGCUUUAUUCAAAAAAUGCCAGAUUUAUAGUUUUGGAGUGGAAUAAGUACUGCGGAGUUCGAGUCAAAUGGGUGGUAAGAAAAACUUCUGGAGUAGCGCUUAAAAUGUGUUGAUACCUGAAAGAAGACCAAGAGGCG
rnacentral:rRNA from 1 species